CGCGGGGUGGAGCAGCUCGGUUGCUCGCUGGGCUCAUAACCCAGAGGUCGCAGGUUCAAAUCCUGUCCCCGCUA
rnacentral:tRNA from 1 species